GCGCGCGCGCGCGGCCGUCUGUAGUCUAGACGAGGAAUAAUCAACCUUCCCUUCGAGGCUAAACAUGAACAGCAACGUUUUACCGAGAGGUUCACCGGGGGACACGCACACCGGCUGCCCUACAUAAAAUGCACCCAUUGUAGGCCGGAGUGUCAGCUGAGGACGACUUGCAACCUAGAAACGGCGCUCUGGCCCCUCCUUCUCUUUGUCGGGCGCAUUGUAAACGCCAGCCAGAGGUCUUCUGAAGUGUUCUUUUUUCCCCAGUGAAAACAGAUCGUAAAAUUGGCCUGGACCCCAGAACGCGCUUUUCUCCAUUUUCAUCAACCCCUGUCGAGACCCCUCGCGAUUCCUCACCAAAGGCCCAAUGACAUCAUCAGAGCCCUUUGUAUAGAGCUGCUAGGGGUUCGUUUCAUUUCAAGCAGUCCUGCUCUCGAUGCGUUCGAUUUAUAUCUUAUAGUUUAUAUUUAUUUUGAACAGAGUUAACGCGCCUUUCUUAAAGCGCGAACGCUACAUCUGGGAGAAACAACGCUCCGCAGGAGUGCACUUCGCAACUUACUUUUUGCAUUGUGUUAUGUAGCCUACAGCAACAUAAACUUUGUGAGAUGAUAUCAGAAAAACUGCUCAUGACCGAGAGUGCGGAGAGCACGCUGAAGUGUUCGGUGUUCGCGGACCCUUGCGCGCGCGCGCCUAACUAUAUGGAGACUCACGAUAUUCUUCAGAUCUUUCAGGUGAGAAGAAAAAAGCAAAGCUGCAGCUACUGAUAUGUAUUCUUACGAAGAAAAUGGUAGACAGUGAUGAAUUGCUUUGCACAAAAUGGCGAAGGACAUUUCAGAGCGCUAAUAGAAGUUCCCAAAAAAAGAGAAAGCGCAGCGUGUUGAUAUCUUAUUGUUCUGCUUUAUUUAAUACAGAGCUGCAUAUUGUUUUAUGAGUAGGCCUCUUACGAAAACAAGCAAACAAAAUAGAGCUCUGACUAACUAUCAAAGUCAUUUUAGCAGCAGAUAAGAAAUAUUUAGUUGCUUGAGACAUCCAGGACAGGACCGUUGUUGUGUUCUCGUGUGUGCUGUUUCUGGACAUCACAGAGAAACUGGUUUUUGAUAGACCACAUGAUUCACUUCACUUCAUGUUAGAACAGGGAUUUUAACUCUGAUUUAUUUUUUAUCUAUUAAGUGUGUUAUAUAGAUUAAUAUAUUUUAUAUAGAUUUGUUUCAGACAGAAUCAUGACUGAAUUGAGAGGUUUUACUGGUGACUACAUUUAAGAAGGAUUCGAGCUGAUCUUGUUAAAUAUAUUGCAUACUGUAGUCACUGUCAUUUAACUUGACCCUAUAAACAUAAUUAUUAUUAUUAUUUAUUUUUUAAUAGUUGUAAACCAUUCUAAUCACAACUGACUUUACACAAACUUUUGCAG
ensembl:lncRNA